rnacentral:lncRNA from 1 species
AUGCACCCGCGCACGCACACCUGUGAGCACACACGCAGUGCACACACAGUUCUGGGGAGGAGAAGAGGAGGCGGGGCUUCCUCCGGACCGGCAGCUGCCCACUCCACUUCCCUUCCAGCCAGCAGUGGGCUCCCUGCCCACACAGGACAGGGCGGAGGCUGUGUUGCAGGGCCCCGGCUGACACGCACCCCCACCCACCCCACCCCCACUAACCCCCUGCAAGCGCCCGUCCCUGUGCCUCCGCCCAGGACCACUCCCCUCUGUGCCUGGGAAGCAUCAGGCCAGGCAAGAGGAAGGGCUAUGUUUUUGGGGUCCCUCUCUGCACCCCUCUGGAGCCAACCCCAGGGCCCUCCUCGGCGUGUGCACAGGGAGUGGGGGAUGGAGCCCUGCCCCUGGGAUGGAGCUGAGCGGCCCCAUGAGCAGAAGGCGCUGGGUCAGAUCCCACACUGGGCAGUGCGAGCCAGAGACCGGACCCUCGGCCCUGCAGCAGCAGUGGGAAGCCCCAGCUUCUACGGGCCCAGUCCAGGGGUGCCGGGCCGCAGCUCCAACACAGACGCCAGCGGGCGGUCACUGCCCCGGUCUAGCCAGAGACCAAGGACACUGUGGUCACCCCUGCCAGGAAAAGGCCCUGGUGACAGCCCCUGCUGUCCGGCGGCCAGGGGCAGGGGCCCUGUGCUCUCACCACAAGUAAGGAAGAGCUGGGUUCCUGGAAUGCAGGGUCCCUGCUCCCUGGCCAGUCUCCCCGCAGGGCCCCUGCUCCCUGCCCAGUCUCCCCGCAGGGCCCCUGCUCCCUGCCCAGUCUCCCCGCAGGGUCCCUGCUCCCUGGCCAGUCUCCCCGCAGGGCCCCUGCUCCCUGCCCAGUCUCCCCGCAGACGACACUGCAACUCUGGACACCGUACUCCAGAACACGUGGGGCUGGCACGGCGGUGCAGUGGGUUAGGUGCUGCCUGCAGCGCCAGCAUCCCCUACCUGAGCGCGGGUUUGAGUCCCAGCUGCUCCACUUCCCAUCCGGCUCCCUGCUAA